UCAACCCUCGAGCUCCCUUUGGGGAGCCCGGCGUUGGGGACCGGCAGCUACCGCCGACCCCGAAAUACAGUGGCGGCCCGUCACGGCGACCUCUGCGUAGUAAUCCAACCUCGCACCGGGAACCCGACGCGGCCACGCCGUAAAACACCCCAAUUCUGAACGUUGACCUCGGAUCAGGUAGGAAUACCCGCUGAACUUAA
rnacentral:misc_RNA from 1 species